rnacentral:tRNA from 1 species
GCACACGUAGCCCUCCUGCCUACGAAGCAGGACAAAGGUAACUGGACGGAAGAUGCGUGUUCGACUCACGCCGUGUGCUCCA